rnacentral:tRNA from 1 species
CAAAAAAUAGUUUAUAAAGAAUACUAAUCUUGGAGAUUAGAGGAAAUUAGAAUUAAUUUUUUUUGA